AUGCUCAGUCGAUUAAGCAAAAUAAGGAAACAGAGAAAGAAAUUGAGAAGGUUAAAAAUUUAAGAGAUGUAGCUGAGAAGAAAUUGGCAGAGAAAGUAAAAGAGAUUGAAGGUUUAAACAGAGAGAUGGAGGAGAUUGUAAGGAAGAAGACUGGUAUUGAAAUGGAGAACAGUGGGCAAAAGGUUAAGAUUACUGAGUUGGAAAAAGAUGCGUCUGAAUUGAAUGAGAUUAUAUCAACUUUGCGAAAGGAGGAG
rnacentral:misc_RNA from 1 species